rnacentral:rRNA from 1 species
GAUGAACGCUAGCGAUAGGCCUAACACAUGCAAGUCGAGGGGCAUCGGGGCGAGGAGCAAUCCUUGCCGCCGGCGACCGGCGCACGGGUGAGUAACGCGUAUGCGACCUGCCCGUUGCAGGGGGAUAAUCGGGAGAAAUCCCGUCUAAUACCGCGUAACGCCGCGGGGCUGCAUGGCCCUGCGGCCAAAGGAAGCGAUUCCGGCAACGGAUGGGCAUGCGUGACAUUAGCUAGUUGGCGGGGCAACGGCCCACCAAGGCGACGAUGCGUAGGGGUUCUGAGAGGAAGGUCCCCCACACUGGUACUGAGACACGGACCAG